rnacentral:rRNA from 1 species
GAUGAACGCUGGCGGCGUGCUUAACACAUGCAAGUCGAACGGAAAGGCCCAAGCUUGCUUGGGUACUCGAGUGGCGAACGGGUGAGUAACACGUGGGUGAUCUGCCCUGCACUUCGGGAUAAGCCUGGGAAACUGGGUCUAAUACCGGAUAGGACGAUGGUUUGGAUGCCAUUGUGGAAAGUUUUUUCGGUGUGGGAUAAGCUCGCGGCCUAUCAGCUUGUUGGUGGGGUAAUGGCCUACCAAGGCGUCGACGGGUAGCCGGCCUGAGAGGGUGUACGGCCACAUUGGGACUGAGAUACGGCCCAGACUCCUACGGGAGGCAGCAGUGGGGAAUAUUGCACAAUGGGCGCAAGCCUGAUGCAGCGACGCCGCGUGGGGGAUGACGGCCUUCGGGUUGUAAACUCCUUUCGCUAGGGACGAAGCGUUUUUGUGACGGUACCUGGAGAAGAAGCACCGGCUAACUACGUG